rnacentral:tRNA from 1 species
GCAAAUAUAGUAUAAUAAAAACGUUAGAUUGUGAUUCUAAAAAUAGAGGUUAAACCCCUCUUGUUCGCC